UGCGUAGGCGGGUUUCUAAGUCAGAGGUGAAAGCCUGGAGCUCAACUCCAGAACUGCCUUUGAUACUGGAAGUCUUGAGUAUGGCAGAGGUGAGUGGAACUGCGAGCGUAGAGGUGAAAUUCGUAGAUAUUCGCAAGAACACCAGUGGCGAAGGCGGCUCACUGGGCCAUUACUGACGCUGAGGCACGAAAGCGUGGGGAGCAAACA
rnacentral:rRNA from 1 species